rnacentral:lncRNA from 1 species
AUAAAAUUAAGACGUAAUUUAAUGCCUUUCAUACAAUAUUUUUUUGUCGCCCACACACUCCCUCUAAUUCAAACUAAUAAUUUGGUAUUUUAUGUUUUAAAUCUAAUUGUAUUUAGCUCAUAGUAGAAUAGGUGAAAAUAUUGUUUUACGCAAAACCGAUUGUUAUUAGUAAAAGAUAAUGCAUAGGCGAUUUAUUGGUUUUUAAUUAAAUGUCUCCAAUUUAUUUCUUUUGUGUAAUUCUUAUGUGUAACUGAAAUAUUAUGGCUAUUUAAUUGAUUUUGAACGCACUCAUAAUAAAUUUUAGUAUGGCAAUACUGUACGGUACUACCAACUUGACCAAAUGACAGUGCGGCCGGUCAUUUCACUUUGAGGUUAAGAAUCAUGGUGUGCUCGAGAUUUGUCAACAAAAAAUUCUCUUGUUUAACGUGGACUUUUCUGGUACCGAAAAAUGCCUCCGAUGACUCCAGCCGAACGCCAAAAAAAAUACAGAGAAAAAUUAAAACGCGAAAAUCCCGAUAAAUUAGAAAAAUUGAAAAAAGAGAAUGCUGAGAGGACCAAGAGAAAAUAUAAACCGAUUAACCAAUUUUCAGAUUAUUUGCAGAAUGAAAAAC